AGUCCCGUAGUCUAGUGGUCAAGGAUAGGGGCCUUUGGAGCCUCGGACGCAGGUUCGAAUCCUGCCGGGACUA
rnacentral:tRNA from 1 species